GUUAAGCGACUAAGCGUACACGGUGGAUGCCCUGGCAGUCAGAGGCGAUGAAGGGCGUGCUAAUCUGCGAUAAGCGCCGGUAAGGUGAUAUGAACCGUUAUAACCGGCGAUACCCGAAUGGGGAAACCCAGUGUGACUCGUCACACUAUCAUUAACUGAAUCCAUAGGUUAAUGAGGCGAACCGGGGGAACUGAAACAUCUAAGUACCCCGAGGAAAAGAAAUCAACCGAGAUUCCCCCAGUAGCGGCGAGCGAACGGGGAGGAGCCCAGAGCCUGAAUCAGCAUGUGUGUUA
rnacentral:rRNA from 1 species